rnacentral:pre_miRNA from 1 species
CAAGUACUCCCUCCGUCCAGAAUUACUUGUCAUCAAAAUGGAUGUGUCUAGAACUAAAAUACAUCUAGAUACAUCCAUUGCAAUGACAAGUAUUUUUGUACGGAGGGAGUACAAG